rnacentral:rRNA from 1 species
GCCUAAAGCGUCCGUAGCCGGCUUUGUUAGUUUUCGGUUAAAUCCAUAUGCUCAACAUAUGGGCCGCCGGGAAUACUGUAAAGCUAGGGAGUGGGAGAGGUAGACGGUACUCCGUAGGAAGGGGUAAAAUCCUUUGAUCUAUGGAUGACCACCAGUGGCGAAGGCGGUCUACCAGAACACGUUCGACGGUGAGGGAUGAAAGCUGGGGGAGCAAACCGGAUUAGAUACCCGGGUAGUCCCAGCUGUAAACUAUGCAAACUCAGUGAUGCAUUGGCUUGUGGCCAGUGCAGUGCCGCAGAGAAGUCGUUAAGUUUGCCGCCUGGGAAGUACGUACGCAAGUAUGAAACUUAAAGGAAUUGGCGGGGGAGCACCACAAGGGGUGAAGCCUGCGGUUCAAUUGGAGUCAACGCCAGAAAUCUUACCCGGAGAGACAGCAGAAUGAAGGUCAAGUUGAAGCCUUUACCAGACAAGCUGAGAAGUGGUGCAUGGCCGUCGCCAGCUCGUGCCGUGAGGUGUCCUGUUAAGUCAGGUAACGAGCGAGAUCCUUGCCUCUAGUUGCCACCAUUACUCUCAGGAGUAGUGGGGCGAAUUAGCGGGACUGCCGUAGUUAAUACGGAGGAAGGAGAGGGCCACGGCAGGUCAGUAUGCCCCGAA